GAUGAACGCUAGCGGCAGGCUUAAUACAUGCAAGUCGAGGGGCAGCAUGACUGUAGCAAUACAGUUGAUGGCGACCGGCAAACGGGUGCGGAACACGUACAGAACCUUCCUUCGAGCGGGGAAUAGCCCAGAGAAAUUUGGAUUAAUACCCCAUAGUAUAUUAGAGUGGCAUCACUUUGAUAUUAAAGAUUUAUCACUUGAAGAUGGCUGUGCGGCUGAUUAGGUAGUUGGCGGGGUAACGGCCCACCAAGCCUUCGAUCAGUAACUGGUGUGAGAGCACGACCAGUCACACGGGCACUGAGACACGGGGCCCGACUCCUACGGGAGGCAGCAGUAAGGAAUAUUGGUCAAUGGACGAAAGUCUGAACCAGCCAUGCCGCGUGGAGGAUGAAGGUCCUCUGGAUUGUAAACUUCUUUUAUAUGGGACGAAAAAAGGGUUUUCUAACUCGUCUGACGGUACCAUAUGAAUAAGCACCGGCUAACUCCGUGCCAG
rnacentral:rRNA from 1 species